AUUGAACGCUGGCGGCAGGCCUAACACAUGCAAGUCGAACGAGUGGCGGACGGGUGAGUAAUGUCUGGGAAACUGCCUGAUGGAGGGGGAUAACUACUGGAAACGGUAGCUAAUACCGCAUACCAUCGGAUGUGCCCCUAUGGGAUUAGCUUGUAGGUGGGGUAAAGGCUCACCAAGGCGACGAUACCUAGCUGGUCUGAGAGGAUGACCAGCCACACUGGAACUGAGACACGGUCCAGACUCCUACGGGAGGCAGCAGUGGGGAAUAUUGCACAAUGGGCGCAAGCCUGAUGCAGCCAUGCCGCGUGUAUGAAGAAGGCCUGCGGGUUGUAAAGUACUUUCAGCGGGGAGGCGUUACCCGCAGAAGAAGCACCGGCUAACUCCGUGCCAGCAGCCGCGGUAAUAC
rnacentral:rRNA from 1 species